AUGGGGUGCAGCAGGCGCGAAACCUCCGCAAUACACGAAAGUGUGACGGGGUUACCCAAAGUGUUCAAUUUUGAACUGUGGUAGGUGAGUAAUGUUCCCUACUAGAAAGGAGAGGGCAAGGCUGGUGCCAGCCGCCGCGGUAAAACCAGCUCUUCAAGUGGUCGGGAUAAUUAUUGGGCUUAAAGUGUCCGUAGCCGGUUCAGUAAGUUCCUGGUAAAAUCGGGUAGCUUAACUAUCUGUAUGCUAGGAAUACUGCUAAACUAGAGGGCGGGAGAGGUCUGAGGUACUACAGGGGUAGGGGUGAAAUCUUAUAAUCCUUGUAGGACCACCAGUGGCGAAGGCGUCAGACUGGAACGUGCCUGACGGUGAGGGACGAAAGCCAGGGGAGCGAACCGGAUUAGAUACCCGGGUAGUCCUGGCCGUAAACGAUGCAUACUAGGUGAUGGCGUGGCCAUGAGCCGUGUCAGUGCCGUAGGGAAACCGUUAAGUGUGCCGCCUGGGAAGUACGGUCGCAAGGCUAAAACUUAAAGGAAUUGGCGGGGGAGCAC
rnacentral:rRNA from 1 species